rnacentral:lncRNA from 1 species
GGGUGGGCAAAAAAAGUUGAUUAAUCAAAAACCGAACCGAACCGUUCGGUUCGGUUCGGUUUUUUUGCGGUUUUUUUAUAUCCAAAAAACCGAAAUAGUAAUACCGAAAAAAUAGUAAAAUCAAUCGGUUCGGUUUUCGGUUUAAAAAAAAAAACCGAAAAACCGAACCGACGAACCGAACACAAAUAAAAUCCGGAUUCCCAAAAGUCCAAAACCUAAAGUGAGUAAAGUGACUCUAAAUCUCUAAUUCAGCCGAACUCGUGACCUUCAGCCCCUGAACACGUCGCUGUUGCUGCCGCUGCUCGUCGCUGGCUCGCUGCUGCUGCCGCUGGUCGUAGCUGGCUCGCUGCUGCUGCCGCUGGUCGUCGCUGCCUCGCUGCUGCAGCCGCUGCCUCGCUGCUGCAGCCGCUGCUGCUGUCGCUGCUGUUUGUCGCUGCUGGUAGCCGCUGCUGCUUGUGAGUGUUUGCUUAAGCGUUUAUCUUGCUAUAGUAGUUCUUAAAAUGGCAUCAAAGUCAAGUUGUGCAUAUAUAUAUAUAUAUAUAUAUAUAUAUAUAUAUAAUAUCAAACUUAUUAGUCAAAUCAUUAAUUAUUGCGGGUACACACAUGUAAAGAUAGGACGUGCAGCAAAUGUGUUAUCUCUUCUUCAGGAUCGAUUUUGCUGGAGCUAAUCUGUAUUGCUUCCCAAUAAUAAUAAUAAUAAUAAUAAUAAUAAUAAUAAGUGGGUUUGUUUUGAACUUUUAAAAAUAAGUUAUUUUCUGGGCAUUAAUUUUGAGAAGUUGAUCCUUAACCUUAAGUAAUCAAUUUACAGAUUGCUAAUGCAUUGCUUGAUUUAAUUUAAUCUUUUUAAUUAGCGUUGUUCCUUUGACUAAUAUUGAGUUUGAAAUUGAAAACCAUAGAACCUGAGAAUAAUAAAAAUAGUUAAAAUAUAGGUGAGUAGAAAUUUAAAUAACCUUGUCAGACGUUUAAUUAAGCACAAGCUCAAGCUUUUAGAUUCUGUGAUUGCUGGAAAUAAUCUAUAAUAUUUUCACAAGAAAUUUAUUGCUUUCAUAAAUGGGCAACAUUAGACAACAGCAUGCGGCAAGAUUUUUUAGUAUUAAAUUUGCUUAUUUUAAUAUAAAAAUUUUUGUAUGGUUAUUUGUUAUGCGUGAUCAAAGAGUAAUCUUUUGGAAGAUUGUAUACAAAUUGUUUGAGGAUAAUGGAUAUCCUUUGGUAGUUUUAAGUGAAUGUGUCAGAUCCUAGAUUCUCUCUUUGAUUUGUUGCUGCUGUGGUGUUAAUUUUUUUAUGUGUUAUUGAACAUUGUUUGAGACAUAUUUUGAUUUUUUGUUUGUUAAUUUUUUAUGUUUGUUGUAGAUUUAUUAACUUAAGGUUUUAAAUUUGAAAAAGCCCAAAAUAGGCCCAAUAGGCCCAUAAUCGAAAUAAUCGAACCGAACCGAACCGAAUUAUUUCAAUUAAUCGAGUAUUUGAUUAUUUCGGUAAUUUGAUUAAUCGCGAUUAUGAUUUUAAAAUAAUCGUAAUCGAACGAUUAUGAAAAAUAUAGUAAAAAACCGAACCGAACCGAACCGCGCCCACCCCUA